AAGCACUCAGGGCACAUAGCACUAGCUCCAAGAAUUGAAUUUCCCUCAAGCCUAGCUAGUGAAGCAGAUUGCUGUAACCCUAAGAUUGGUUUUAUGCAGUAACUGCUGAAUUGACCUGCUGGGACUCUAAGACUACUUUUACUUACAGCCGUCACUCAUCAAUCAGAGCUUGUAAGCUACCAAAAGCUUUUCUAGUGUCAAUGAGCUUUCUUUCAAAACAGCACAGUGCCAAGUCAUCCAUAAACAUUGACAGUACAGAGUUUCAUCCAACACAACAGCCUUACAAGGAAGCUUCACUCCUCUGCUCAGCUGCUGCACCACAUUUCGGAUCAGAACAUCUAGAUCCAUCAAAACAAGAGGUGGAUGAGAUAUCUGCACAUUCAGGGAGGGGAGGAUAAAAUCCAGGGGGCCUCAUGAGAUUGCUCUCCACGUGCGAGUGAGCAGACAGGCGGUGUAUUUCCUGAUUGCCCCAGGCUAGGUGAGGAGUGGCUCAGGCAGCCCAGGCUGGGCAGGGACACUAGAGACUGAUGCAUUAAAGAAAAAUUUAUCAAAAAAUCAGGGAAGAAGCUAGUUUCUCUUUACCCCCUCUAUUUAAGGACCCCUUGAGUGAUAGUUCCCGGAUCCUCCUGCGCUGGUGUUUGUCUUUCGCUGAAGGUGAUGGAUGUGUAAGCUGCACUAAUGAGCAGGGCUUGGGCCAUCAGACAGUCACAGGGCCGUCCAGCUCCAUGCACCUCCCAGGCCGUGAGACAGUCACAGAGUUGUCCAUCUCCACGCAUCUUCCAGGUUCUGAGACAGUCACGGGGCCGUCCAUCUCCACGCACCUCCCAGGUUGUGAGACAGUCACGGGGCCAUCCAUCUCCACGCACCUCCCAGGUUGUGAGACAGUCACGGGGCUGUCCAUCUCCAUGCACCUCCCAGCUGUCAGCAUGGUCCACCGGGGAAAUAUGUGAUUAAUGCAGAGGAUUAUGUGUGUGUUGGGGUGGAGGGAGAUGUAGCCCAA
rnacentral:lncRNA from 1 species